GAUGAACGCUGGCGGCGUGCCUAAUACAUGCAAGUCGAGCGAACAGACGAGGAGCUUGCUCCUCUGACGUUAGCGGCGGACGGGUGAGUAACACGUGGAUAACCUACCUAUAAGACUGGGAUAACUUCGGGAAACCGGAGCUAAUACCGGAUAAUAUAUUGAACCGCAUGGUUCAAUAGUGAAAGACGGUUUUGCUGUCACUUAUAGAUGGAUCCGCGCCGCAUUAGCUAGCUGGUAAGGUAACGGCUUACCAAGGCAACGAUGCGUAGCCGACCUGAGAGGGUGAUCGGCCACACUGGAACUGAGACACGGUCCAGACUCCUACGGGAGGCAGCAGUAGAGAAUCUUCCGCAAUGGGCGAAAGCCUGACGGAGCAACGCCGCGUGAGUGAUGAAGGUCUUCGGAUCGUAAAACUCUGUUAUUAGGGAAGAACAAAUGUGUAAGUAACUAUGCACGUCUUGACGGUACCUAAUCAGAAAGCCACGGCUAACUACGUG
rnacentral:rRNA from 1 species